CACUGCCGAGAAAAGCCUCUAGAUAGAAAAUAGGUGCCCGUACCGCAAACCGACACAGGUAGUCAAGAUGAGAAUUCUAAGGUGAGCGAGCGAACUCUCGUUAAGGAACUCGGCAAAAUGACCCCGUAACUUCGGGAGAAGGGGUGCUCUUUAGGGUUAACGCCCAGAAGAGCCGCAGUGAAUAGGCCCAAGCGACUGUUUAUCAAAAACACAGGUCUCUGCUAAACCGUAAGGUGAUGUAUAGGGGCUGACGCCUGCCCGGUGCUGGAAGGUUAAGAGGAGUGGUUAGCUUCUGCGAAGCUACGAAUCGAAGCCCCAGUAAACGGCGGCCGUAACUAUAACGGUCCUAAGGUAGCGAAAUUCCUUGUCGGGUAAGUUCCGACCCGCACGAAAGGCGUAACGAUUUGGGCACUGUCUCAACGAGAGACUCGGUGAAAUCAUAGUACCUGUGAAGAUGCAGGUUACCCGCGACAGGACGGAAAGACCCCGUGGAGCUUUACUGUAGCCUGAUAUUGAAAUUCGGCACAGCUUGUACAGGAUAGGUAGGAGCCUUUGAAACGUGAGCGCUAGCUUACGUGGAGGCGCUGGUGGGAUACUACCCUAGCUGUGUUGGCUUUCUAACCCGCACCACUUAUCGUGGUGGGAGACAGUGUCAGGCGGGCAGUUUGACUGGGGCGGUCGCCUCCUAAAAGGUAACGGAGGCGCUCAAAGGUUCCCUCAGAAUGGUUGGAAAUCAUUCAUAGAGUGUAAAGGCAUAAGGGAGCUUGACUGCGAGACCUACAAGUCGAGCAGGGUCGAAAGACGGACUUAGUGAUCCGGUGG
rnacentral:rRNA from 1 species